AACCUGCUGCCGUUCCUUUCUGUGUGUGGAAGCUUUGUUCUUUUGCUCUUCUCCAUAAAUCUUGCUGCUGCUCACUCUUUGGGUCUGCACCACAUUUAAGAGCUGUGACACUCACCGUGAAGGUCUGCAGCUUCAUUGUUGAAGUCAGUGAGACUACGAACCCACUGGAGGGAACCAACUCCAGACACAACAGUGCACUGGAUCUUGCCGCUGUGGCUGUCCUGGAGUUUCCGAGCCUACUCUGGCUUGGGAGGCCGCCCGAGUUGCACAUCUUUCAUUGCUUGAUGAAACUCCUUUAAAUUUAAUUCGGCUGAAGUUUUUCUUUUAUCAUGUGUAAUGUCAAAAUAUCCAGUUGGAAAGGGGAAAAAACGACGAUCCUCAAGAAGGCGGUUCGGGCAACACCAAGCCUCCAGCAGUGGGAAGAUCAAUGUCAAGGUGAUUGAUGAAUUUCCCUUUUUUAUUCGGAUGUUUUGAAGUCAGAUAGGAACUGACAGAAAGUGAGAUUGGUGGGCAAUUUUCUGGAAAUGAAAUCUAGAAGUUGGACUAGAUCAUGGAGUCUAGCUUGAGAGCCUCCGGAAAAUAGGCCUCCAUGUAAUCUAAAAGUAAAGCUGGCCCAUACAGAGAUGAAAGGCUGGCAAGAGCCUGGGAAGUCUUUGAAAGGGAGGAUUUUUAAAUUUAGGUAGCAGGAAGGGAAUGAUGAUGUCACAGCUAAGAUCAGACAGCCCUCGAAGUAGAACCUACAGGUGAAAUAUGGAAGGGGAGAUGGUGUUCAGGAGGCUUCAGUGGCCUAUGGGGAACAGGAAAGGAAUGAGACAUAAAGGGGAGUUUUUAAAAGUUUGAAGUCUUAUUUUUCACCUGUGGUCUAAGACAGAAUUUAAAAUCUGUUUGGAAUAAAGUACAGAUGAAGAACAAAUCAAAUUUGUCUACAAUAGAAUGUUCGUAAUUAAGGAGAAGUCAGAAUUUUGUAUAAUAGGAAUAGGAAUGGAGGGAAAGGGGACCAGUUCUGUUGACCAUGCUUUGCAGAUAAGGGCGUCUCGGUCACCAAUUUGCAAAAAGUCACCCGGGGAACUUGUUGAAUGAGGAUUUUGAUUCAAUAUGUCUGGGAUGGAGCCAGAGAGUCUGCAUUUCUAAUUAUCUCCCAGAUGACAUCAACGCUGCUUUGGGUGGCAAGGCUCUACAGCAGGGAUUUCCACAACUGAAUUCACGAAAGUCCCUUAGUAACUCUGAUAUGCAGCAGGAUUUUGGAACUGGAGCUAUUGAAAAGCUCAUUGAAGAUUAAUUAAUGCAAGAACCAGAGGAAUCAGGACAGUAUUGAAGCUUCUUCAAGCAAAACGUUUUAUUUCCAGCAGCAUGUGGAAAAACAUAUUGUAGAUGUCUGUAUAAAAUAUCUCAAACAGCCAUCAGAAAUUUGGGAUGUAAUGUUUUUAAUAAACCAUAGAAUGCCUGUUUUAAAGAUGUUGAAGUCCUGGAGUAACUAAAAAGGAUGGAUGAAAUGAGUAAAUCUGUAGACACAGUGACACUUUUGUCGCUUCUUGAAUCAUACUUUAAAUUAUUUGAGUAAUAAAUGUGACCAGUGACUUCUAGAUAUUUAAGGAGCUACAAUCAGAGUGUGUGUGUGUGUGUGUGUGUGUGUGUGUGUGUGUUAGAGAAACCCUACUUUCACAGGGAAUCCAGGGC
rnacentral:lncRNA from 1 species